UACGUAGGGUGCAAGCAUUAAUCGGAUUUAUUGGGCGUAAAGGACGCGUAGGCGGAUUAUCAAGUCGAAUGUGAAAUUCCGGGGCUUAACCUCGGAGCUGCACUCGAAACUGGUGAUCUAGAGGGUAGAAGGAGAAAACGGAAUUCCACAAGUAGCGGUGAAAUGCGUAGAUAUGUGGAAGAACACCUGUGGCGAAGGCGGUUUUCUAUUUUUAUUCCUGACGCUGAGGCGUGAAAAGCAAGGGGGAUCAAACAGG
rnacentral:rRNA from 1 species